UACAGAGGGGGCAAGCGUUGUUCGGAAUUACUGGGCGUAAAGGGCGCGUAGGCGGCCUGUUAAGUCGAACGUGAAAUCCCCGGGCUCAACCCGGGAACUGCGUCCGAUACUGGCAGGCUUGAAUCCGGGAGAGGGAUGCGGAAUUCCAGGUGUAGCGGUGAAAUGCGUAGAUAUCUGGAGGAACACCGGUGGCGAAGGCGGCAUCCUGGACCGGUAUUGACGCUGAUGCGCGAAAGCCAGGGGAGCAAACGGGG
rnacentral:rRNA from 1 species